GAGGAGUGGGUCCGGAAGCGGCGCCGGAGCGGGUCCGGAAGCGGGCGGUGGAGAAGUCCAGUUGCCCCAAAAUUCUUAGGACAUCAUAGUUACGAGAGUGACGAAGACUCUGGCAGGAAACCAAAUAUCACCUGUUUUCCUCAAAAAGCAGCAGAAGAGUGACAAGUGAAAAAAGUUCCUAGCGGGAGACGUGCUUGGAACCGGAGAUAAUCUGUGUCUACCGCUGGUCUUCAAGGUGCUUAAUUUCGUGCCCGCUCUACAGGAAAUAACGUGCGCGGCGGAGGAGCCCUGUCCUGGAGAAUAACGCGUGAAGAAGACAGUGGACUGGGCAUUUCGUCCAGAUGAAUGAGCAUGGUAGUUAAGUGUAGAAGGUGACCUUCUUCCCUCUGGAGA
rnacentral:lncRNA from 10 species